GAUGAACGCUGGCGGCGUGCCUAAUACAUGCAAGUCGAGCGAACAGACGAGGAGCUUGCUCCUCUGACGUUAGCGGCGGACGGGUGAGUAACACGUGGAUAACCUACCUAUAAGACUGGGAUAACUUCGGGAAACCGGAGCUAAUACCGGAUAAUAUAUUGAACCGCAUGGUUCAAUAGUGAAAGACGGUUUUGCUGUCACUUAUAGAUGGAUCCGCGCCGCAUUAGCUAGUUGGUAAGGUAACGGCUUACUAAGGCAACGAUGCGUAGCCGACCUGAGAGGGUGAUCGGCCACACUGGAACUGAGACACGGUCCAGACUCCUACGGGAGGCAGCAGUAGGGAAUCUUCCGCAAUGGGCGAAAGCCUGACGGAGCAACGCCGCGUGAAUGAUGAAGGUCUUCGGAUCGUAAAACUCUGUUAUUAGGGAAGAACAAAUGUGUAAGUAACUAUGCACGUCUUGACGGUACCUAAUCAGAAAGCCACGGCUAACUACGUG
rnacentral:rRNA from 1 species